rnacentral:lncRNA from 1 species
GGCUGAUCAACGAUUGAGAAUCGUUCUAGGGUUUAAUCAUCAAUUCGAUUGAUGAUUAAUCUUAUGUAAAAAUUAUAAUAAAUUAAUUCACUAAUUAUUGAUGAAUUAUAGAAAGAUUGAUUAAUAAUUAGAUUGCUAAUUAACUUAAUUUAAUUGAGCAUUAAAGUUUAGAUUAAAUCUAAUUGAAUUGGAUUCAAUUUGGUUUGAUCUG